ensembl:lncRNA
CCGUGAUUCUCUGCUUCCUGUCUGCCACGCUCUGACCUUCUGCCUGUGCCAUGCUGUCCUGCCUUUGAGCCAGCUUACUAUGGACUAAAAUAGUCUCACUAUGUAGUCCAGGCUGGCCUCAAACUUGUGGCAAUCCUCCUGCCUCGGCCUCACAAGUGCUGGAAUUACAGAAAUGUGUCACCAUGCCCAGCAAAGUCUUUGUUUCUAGCACUACUACCAGCAACACCAUAACAAAAAGAAGAAUGAACUGAAAAUCACCUCUUCUUUGAAGAAAGAAAUCUUCAAUACUAAAUAGACUUCAAUACCAAUAGAAAUCUUCAAAACUAAAAAGGAAAGGGAAGAGAGAACCAAAAUAUGGAACAGUAUCUCCAAGAACUGUAGGACAAUUCCAAAAUGUCUAGGUAUGUGUCGUGAGAACACCAGAAGAAGAGAGAGAAAGAAACAGAAAAAAAUCCUUGACGCAUUAGUGACUGUGAAUUUCUGAGAAUUAAUACUAAACUGCAAACCACAGAUCCAGGAAGCUCAGAGAACACCAAGCAGGAUGAAUACCAAACUGAUAAGUGAGCCUUUGGAAUUGCUCAGUACAGCUG